UCUCACCCAGAAACCCUAGCAGAGGCAGAACUUCCUCCCACCACGCAACCAGCUUCUCCAAUCGCCAUCGUCUUCUCCAUCAAGCAUCAGGCGCAUCGUCUUCUUCACCUCGUCCGUGGGACCGUCAGGUGCAUCGUCUUCUCCAUCGUCUCCCUGGUAGCGGCAGCGACCCAGCAACCAACUUCCUCUCCGUCGUCAGCGUCUCCAUCGGUAUCUCCGUCACCAUCGUCGUCCGCGGUUCCCUCUCAAGCAGCCAGCUUCGUCUUCAGUCAGCCAUUCCCUCUCCAGCAGCCAGCUUCCUCCAGGCUCCAGUGUCGUCUUCUCCGGUCACUCAGUCAGAUUCAAAAAUGGGGAAAACUAACCCUGAAAGUGAUACGGUUGUUGGAAGUACUUCUUCUCCAAGUGCAGCCACUCCCGCUGCUAUUGACGAUGGUAUUUUUGGUGGAACAUCACAAAGUCCAGCUCCCCCACCGUUGCCUGCCUCAAAUCUUUCAACAGAAACACAAACCGAAGCUACUGGAGCUACUGGCAAGCCUCCAAAAGAGGUGAAUUGAGUUCUAUGAUGUCAUGUCUGUCCCCAUGGCAAUAGCACUUUCUGGCCAAUUUCUUCUUGGUCAACCAGUGAUGGUGAAGCCAUCAGAAGCAGAAAAAAAUUUGGUCAGGUUGAGCUUGUCCACCUGCCUCUUGAUGAAAAUGGGCACUGCAAAGGUUUUGGAUUUGUGCAGUUUGCACGCCUUGAAGAUGCGAGAGCGAGAAAUGCACGGAGCUUGAAUGGUCAAUUGGAAAUUGGCGGCAGGACAAUCAAGGUGUCCGCUAUUACUGAUCAAUCUGGAAUGCAAGCAGUUGGAGGGAAUACUGGUGAUCUUGAUGAUGAUUAAGGUGGUGGAUUAGGUGUUCCAAGUGAAUGCUUACUGUUAAAGAAUAUGUUUGAUCCCAAAGACGAGAAGGAACCGGAUUUCGAUUUGGAUAUUAAAGAUGUUGAGGCAGAAUGCUCUAAGCUUUGGGAAGUUAAAGUCAAUGAUUGAGUAUAGUAAGCUUUAUGUUCCUCAAUUUUAGUGUCAGCCAUAAUACCCUUCACCGAACAAAAUGCAUUUGAUUUGCAGAAUGUGGAUAGAAAUAAGGAUGAAUACCUUUUGGUACUUUAUCAAGUGGUUAGUCACUAGAAUUUUUUUCAAUUUUGUUUUAUGUUGAUCUUUUUUUUCGGUCUUAAAAUUUUUCACGUGUGAGAAAUUAUAUAUAAAAAAAUAGAGUAUAACUACAAGGAAGAUAAAAGUCUCCGAAAAUAAGAAAAUCAAAUAAAGAAAAACAUGAAAAACAAAUAAUGCAGCAAGACUGUACGGUGUUUUCUGAAUAUCUACCAAUAACAAAAUCCACCGGUAUCUUCUUUUCUUGCUCGUAAUUGUCUUUGUGCUGUUGUUUUUCGUUUUUAUUUUCAAGGCCAAUUAAUUUGGAUCAUUUCUGAAGUUUAUUGUUUACCAAUACAGCUAUUUUAUUACCAAUCCUAAGCUAAUAUUUAUAAGAAAAUUUUAUAGAAUAAAAAUAUUAAGGGAAGGUAAGUUUUUCAUGCAAGAAAUUAUGCUGGUCUAAUUGAUGUGCAGUACUAAAAGUUUCUUAAUUUAUUGAUAUUUAUUUUAUGGCAUUUAUUUUUAAGUAUGGUAAAUGAGUUUGUAUUUUGGUUUGAUGCUGAAUUUACUCUUUUACGAAGAAGAACUACUCUCAGCAAUAGAUAGGAUGGAUCCUACCCUAGUUUUUUGCACUGGGCCUAGUGAUCCUACAGCACGCUGGUAAUAGGAACAAACUAUUUUCUUAUUAAAAAUCUUGGUUCUGUUUGCUUAUUUAUAGUGAGCAAUUUGCAGCUGAGGUAUAUAUUAUGUUUUUAAUAUAUUUAAACUAAUUUUGUUAUCAAAGUCUGUAACUAUUGAUAACAAAAUUAGUUUAACUAUAUUAAAAGUAUAAUAUAUACCUCAAUUAUAAGUUGCACAUUAUAGGUAAAUAGAAUUAAGAUUUUAAUAAGAAAAUAGUUUGUACCUGUUCCCAGUGUGUUGGAGUAUCACUAGGCCCAAUGCAAAGAACUGGCACUAGAUUCAUCCUAUCUAGGGCUAAUAGUUGUUCUUCUUGUCGUAACCAAGUAAAUUCAAUAUCAAACUAAAAUGCAAAUCCAUUUAUCACACAUAGAAAUAGACGCCAGAAAAAAAAUCAAUAAAUUAUAAGAAACUUUUAGAGCUGUACAGUAAAUAUAUCAGUCGAACCAGCAUAAUUUGUCUUGCAUAAAAAAUUUACCUCGUUUUAUAUUUUCAAUCUAAAAGAUUUUCUUAUAGAGAUUAGUUCUGAAUUGAUAAUAGAAUAGUAGUUUCAUCUGUAAUGGUAAACAAUAAACUUCUUGAAAAAUGACCUAGGAUUAUUUGCUUGUAAUAAAACAAAAGACUACAACAGCGAACAUCAAGAUAAAAAUAUGAAUAUAUACAUACAAAGACAAAAUUACCAAAAAGAUACUGGUGGAUUGUUAUCAGGAAAUAUUAAGGGACACUGGGCAAAUUUGAUGCAUUAUUUGUUCUUGGUUUUUUGUUUGAUUUUCUUGUUUUGGAAGACUUUUAUCCUUUUUGUAUUUGCACUUUUUUUUCUUUUUCUUUAUAUACUCUCGCCACUUGAUGAAGUGCCAAAAGAUUUUCAUUCUUAAUUCUUUCUACAUUCGACAACUCGAAUACAUUUUGUUCGGCAAAGGAUAUCAUGCCUUACACUGAAAUUAUUUUAAUUUUGACCACAAAAUAAGUGUAGUCAAAUGAUAAUUGUCAUGGAAAAGAAAUUACGUAGUUAUCCGGUGGGUACUCUAUCAAUUCCACUAUCAAUUCCAGCAACAUCUCGCCAAAACUUAACCUUUCAACGAUAUGGUCUCGAAUUGGUGAAAUUAGUCAUGAUCAGGAGCUGGUAUCUGCACAAUUGACUCGAACACACUUACAACAGCACAGAAACAGAAAUGCAAGGUGAUUGCCCACUCCCGAUUCAAUUAGAAUCAAACCUGUCCUCGCUUUCCCACUACUUGAGCUAGAUGGCAUGUUAGUUAUUAGGACAUUCUCACUCCCAUUUUUACCCUCUACCCCCUUUUUCCUACUGAAAUGAAAUGGUAGUGGGAGAAUCUUUCCCUUCAUAGGAUCAGAACCUUUUAUUUACACCUAUCUGGGUAUGUAAUAAUCUCUAAUUGCAUUCAAGCAGUUUUAUUUACUUAUAAUUUAUCGUAAUUCAUAUAGUUUACAAAAUCAAA